rnacentral:sRNA from 3 species
AUAUCUCUCUGUACGGGAAGGAUGAGAAGCUUCGACUAAGGUUCGAUUCGAGCGCAGCGAGAAAGC